rnacentral:rRNA from 1 species
UACGUAGGGCGCGAGCGUUGUCCGGAAUUAUUGGGCGUAAAGAGCUCGUAGGCGGCCUGUUGCGUCCGCUGUGAAAGCCCGGGGCUUAACCCCGGGUCGGCAGUGGAUACGGGCAGGCUAGAGGUAGGUAGGGGAGAAUGGAAUUCCCGGUGUAGCGGUGAAAUGCGCAGAUAUCGGGAGGAACACCGGUGGCGAAGGCGGUUCUCUGGGCCUUACCUGACGCUGAGGAGUGAAAGCGUGGGGAGCGAACAGG